rnacentral:rRNA from 1 species
AGCGAACGCUGGCGGCAGGCUUAACACAUGCAAGUCGAGCGGGCACUUCGGUGUCAGCGGCAGACGGGUGAGUAACACGUGGGAACGUACCCUUUGGUUCGGAAUAACGCUGGGAAACUAGCGCUAAUACCGGAUACGCCCUUUUGGGGAAAGGCUUGCUGCCGAAGGAUCGGCCCGCGUCUGAUUAGCUAGUUGGUGGGGUAAUGGCCUACCAAGGCGACGAUCAGUAGCUGGUCUGAGAGGAUGAUCAGCCACACUGGGACUGAGACACGGCCCAGACUCCUACGGGAGGCAGCAGUGGUGAAUAUUGGACAAUGGGCGCAAGCCUGAUCCAGCCAUGCCGCGUGAGUGAUGAAGGCCUUAGGGUUGUAAAGCUCUUUUGUCCGGGACGAUAAUGACGGUACCGGAAGAAUAAGCCCCGGCUAACUUCGUG